rnacentral:rRNA from 2 species
UCCGGUGGUCACAGCGGAGGGGAAACGCCCGGACCCAUCCCGAACCCGGAAGCUAAGCCCUCCAGCGCCGAUGGUACUGCGACCGACAGGUCGUGGGAGAGUAGGACACCGCCGGAACACCCGACCACCCCCACAC